UACAGAGGUCUCAACCGUUGUUCGGAUUCAUUGGGCGUAAAGGGUGCGUAGGCGGUCGGGUAAGUCGGAUGUGAAAUCUCAGGGCUCAACCCUGAAACUGCAUUCGAUACUGCCUGGCUAGGGUACUGGAGAGGAGACUGGAAUUUACGGUGUAGCAGUGAAAUGCGUAGAUAUCGUAAGGAAGACCAGUGGCGAAGGCGAGUCUCUGGACAGUUACCGGCGCUGAGGCACGAAGGUCAGGGGAGCAAACGGG
rnacentral:rRNA from 1 species